CAGUUAGAAAAAUACAUUACCUACAACCAGCUCAAAACAAUGGGAAGUAAGGGCACAUUAAAUAGAAAACUAAUUUAUACAACAUCCUGCAAUCUACUAUGGAAUCAUUCCAAUAGGGAAUGAUUUUGGUCUUUUUGUCAUACUUUGUGUUUGUUGCUGUUGAGCCAAUUUAUUUAGCUAAAGAAUUAAGACAUUUCAAGCAGGGAAAACACAGAAACACAGAUUCCUGUCUUUUUUGUUCCUCUUCCAUCUUUAUGUUAUCCUUGUGUUUUUAUAAAGACCAGGAUGUCUGAUAAUUCCUGUAGGACUCUGAAAGGUCUCUGUCUUCUUCUUUUUCCUCUCUGUCUUCAUUUUUUCUGUGCUGCAUCAGAGAAUAGCAGUGAAACCUCCACCCUGUGAGGAGAAGCCACAGGAGAGCGCCAUGGAUGAACUGAAAUGCAUCCUGGAGACGGUGAAGAGGAGCCCCAGCCGAGGCUCCCAGGAAUCUGGACCUUCACCGCCAGCAAAAAAGGACAGUGAGCUGGAGGUGAUCCUCAGGCGCCGCCGCAACAAGGCUGGGGAGGCGGGAUCAGGAG